rnacentral:lncRNA from 1 species
CCUACACCAUGCUUCUUUUUUUCUCUCCUUAUCAAGUCCUGUGUGGGAGCUCAAAUAUUGUCAGUCAGUUGUGUCUUCUUUUCCAGUACAAUCUGGUUCCAGAGUUUGUGGGACAUCAGUACUUCUGGUUUCAAUUCCAUAGCAAGUUCUAUUUGUCGGAUUUGUCGGGGUGCGUGCCUGUCGUAGAAGCUUGGUUCCGGUUCUUCGAUCCGUGUCUAGGUGUCUGCUACGAUCUCUUUCAGUGUGUGGUUGUUCCAGUUUCAGUCUGUUCACGGUCUGUAGCGUGUGUGUGUGUGUGUGCUGUGCGUGUGUGUCGUCGGCGGUGGAUGGUCGCUUUUCUGCAGCAUCUGCAGGGGUUGCCUGAUAUCCCCGGGGAUCUGGCCUUGGCAAGGUGCAACAUAUCCCCGGACCCUUGCCAUGACAACCUUGUGUGGUUGUUUUUUGUCUCCAGAUCCCCGGUUUUUGCAGGCGUGUGGUCGAGUGCUGUAACCUUUGCAAUCAUCCUGGGAUAAAUAAAAUUUGUUUUCGUCCAA